AUUUAAGAAAGCAAAUUCCCCAUCAUUGUGUGGGGUGGAAGGAAGAGAACUAUCCAGUGAGCUACGUGACUGCCUAGAGGCGUGGGCAGAGCCCCCCCAGUCUGCCACGCAGACAGAGGCUCCCCAUUGGCUGAAAGUAAGCCUGGGCUUCUAGAACAGACAACUGAGUUCCUUCCAAUUGCCCAGCUGGGCCUGUUUCUCCUUCAGACUGGAUGUUCUGAUGUGGAAAAUUCCAUCCUCUUUGGGAGCUAAGAGGACGCUAGAAAUUCUGUGUCUGGAGAGAAUCCUGGACGAGAGGGGGCUCAGGUAGCGCCAGCUGGAAGGGACAGCCUGGAAAAUGCGAGCGCUCCUCAGCUGCCCCAUUUCUUGUUUCUCUGCAUCCUCUUUAGUGAUGGAGGAGGAGAGAAGACCCGAUGGCAGGAGCUCCCGGAGAGAAGAUCCCUCCCCGAAGCAGGCUCCGGCUGCCCCAUGACUUAUCCCACUUUGCCGGUCGAUAGGCACGAGGCACUCCGACCUGACCCCGAAGGUCCAGAUACUUCUGUCUUCUAGACACUGAGCUUGCAUUAUGAUUCCCAAAUUAAGAUCUCUGAACAGGUCUGGCCACGCCACUCUUCUACCCCCAAAUCUCGCUG
rnacentral:lncRNA from 1 species